AGGCACGGUGUCGCAGUGGCAGGUAAGUGGAAAACUACAUACAGGAGGGAAUUAACAGAAAAAAUAUAUCUCGCUAGUGAGUCACUGCUGUGACUAAGCUCAGUAAAUACCUAUUGAGAGCAUCGAAGUCUCAGUUUCUCAACUAUGGUGGCAGUGACUCACUGAGACAACUGAUGUCAAGAGCCCAAGACCUAACAUUCUUCUUGGCUAAACAGUUAAUUGCAAAUACGUGCUAGAUAAUAGAUUUCAAGCACCACGAUAGCAUGAUGCAACACUGAUACCAAGAUGAAAGCUUGAAUUUUGUAAGCGAGAACUUCAGUCUGAUAAAGUGACCCCAGACUGACUGUUGUCUUUGCAUCGCGUUCUAACUAGGUGGCUCAGGUUGCUCUGAAAGUAAUGCCUCCUGUCUAUUUCCUUGGAAAAUACGACAGAUACAAAGAGCAUAACACUUUGUAAUAGCUAAUUCUCAGCAACAAAACACUUUUUCAACAGAGUCACCACCAUUAGCUGUGCGUUUUCACCAGCCUGCAUGCCACACUCAUAAAAAUCUGCACCAGUGGAUGUGCCCCACUGUUUCACAGCUGCUAUGAUGGCAAAGUACUGACACCAUCACCCCUGUAGAGAUCUCUGUCCCCUCAGAGAGCUGCUGACGUCUACAGCUCUCACUGGAGGAGGGGUGGAUAUAAGAAGGGAAAGAUGUACAGCAAGAAAUGCUGUUCCUCAUUUCUGUGACCAGCUGAAAAGUUUACAAGCAACUCAAAAUGUCUCUGGAUUGAUGAGCAAACCUGCGUAGUAAUAAGAGCAACUGUAGAGGAGGUGGAAAGAUACAUGCAUUUUGUGCAUACGCAUUUGAACAAAGUGGUAAACAUUUGUGUGAAUCACCACUGAGAUAUUAUUUUUCUCUGUUUUCAGCUGGAGAGAGAGGAGCUGCCAGAACAGAAACAUGGAGGUGCUGAGCUCCAGUCAGCUGCUGUCACCGUUCCCAGCUUAAUUCACCACCAGUGAUCCCAUGGUUAACACAGUCCUUGGGGGUCUUUGUGCCCACAGCUCAGCCUUCCUUAGCGUUACAGAAGGCAAGCAGGAACUGACGCUGGGAACCAGUUAUCACAGCCCUUGGAACAAGCAUCCUGUUGAAGUACUGAUAUAGAGAAGUGAAGUUAGCAAGUUAAAGACUUGAGAGUAUUUUUGUUGGAGAAAGGAGUUGAUGAGCGAGUUCUAAUUGGGGAGUUUAUAAUAGAAUACAAUUAUAGAGUUGUGUUUUUUGUGAGUUCUGAGAAAACAAAGAUAUUUGAGAAGAGGACGCCCAACAACUGUAAAAUAAACAUGCUGAGAAGCAGAGAUUUGUAGGGACAGGCUGUUCAGCUACCCAAGGAAGGCUGCAGCGACCACAACAGCUUCACGUUCACUGAAAACUUGAUUCUAAUUUGCAGCAUGUGAUUUACUGUUACAGAUAGGCAAAGUUCCAAUGAUAAUAACUUAAAAUAAUCCUUUGAAAAGCAGCAGUGUAUUAAAAAGAUGACAAUAAAGAUGAGCCACGAGGCCAAAAAUGGAAGUUUUUAAUAAUUGCUGAGCUGAGGCAUUACCAGAUAUAGCAAACAGGUAGGCAGGCCCAGGGAGAACAGACUCAGCAGGAGCCACGACAAAGCAGUUGGAAAAUAGAUAUGUGGAUGUUCCAAGGCAGCCCACUGAGAGUACUUACGUCACUGGGAGGGUAUCUCUUGAAUAUUCAACACACGUAGCAGGAAUAUUAUGAUCUCUUAAGAACAUUCUAUGGUUCUGUAACCUCUGGGUUAUAAAUGUUCAGCACUACAUUUUCUAAGCAAACUUCUCAUGUCCUCAGUUCACUUUUGACUGAACUAGUUUUGCUUAGCUUGUGUGUGUGUAUAUAUAUGCGUGCGAGUAUAUAUGUACACGUGCGUAGAUAUAAAAAUAUUCAUAUACUUACUAAAAGAUUUGCAGCAAAGUUCACCAUCCAGACAUGAAACUAACACUGAGACCAGCACCCACGUGGGGAUGCCUGUAACACCGAGGAGCUGCACACAACUCUAAAUGGCACAGCUAUCACUACUGUGUUCUAGGGGUCUCAACCAAAAUGUUAUUUUCACAUUUGCAGGUAAAUUUCAACUCAGUUUC
ensembl:lncRNA